rnacentral:rRNA from 1 species
UACGUAGGGGGCGAGCGUUGUCCGGAGUUACUGGGCGUAAAGCGCACGCAGGCGGUCUGCUAAGUUUGGAGUGACAGUUGGUGGCUUAACUGCCAAAGUGCUUCGAAAACUGACAGGCUUGAGGGCUUCAGAGGGACACGGAAUUCCCGGUGGAGUGGUGAAAUGCGUAGAGAUCGGGAGGAACACCAGUGGCGAAGGCGGCCGGCUGGGGGUGACCUGACGCUGAGGCGCGAAAGCGUGGGGAGCGAACCGG